rnacentral:rRNA from 1 species
UGGGGAAUUUUGGACAAUGGGCGCAAGCCUGAUCCAGCCAUGCCGCGUGAGUGAAGAAGGCCUUCGGGUUGUAAAGCUCUUUCGGCGGGGACGAAACGGUUCGUGACAACACCACGGACUAAUGACGGUACCCGCAUAAGAAGCACCGGCUAACUACGUGCCAGCAGCCGCGGUAAUACGUAGGGUGCAGGCGUUAAUCGGAAUUACUGGGCGUAAAGGGUGCGCAGGCGGUUUGUUAAGACAGGUGUGAAAUCCCCGGGCUUAACCUGGGAAUUGCGCUUGUAACUGGCAGGCUAGAGUGUGGCAGAGGGGGGUGGAAUUCCACGUGUAGCAGUGAAAUGCGUAGAUAUGUGGAGGAACACCGAUGGCGAAGGCAGCCCCCUGGGUUAACACUGACGCUCAUGCACGAAAGCGUGGGGAGCAAACAGGAUUAGAUACCCACGUAGUCCCUGAGCGGGCUGGCAAGGCGCAU